rnacentral:ribozyme from 1 species
AGUGGACCGAGCCACUAUAAAGAGGAUAAUAAGCUCGGAGCGUUCUGCAUAAGCAGAGGAAUCA